GACGAACGCUGGCGGCGUGCUUAACGCAUGCAAGUCGAACGGAAAGGCCCUGCUUUUUUCGGGUUCUCGCGUGGCGAACGGGUGAGUAACCCGUGAGUAACCUGCCCUUGCCUUUGGGAUAACUUCCGGAAACUGGGGCUAAUACCGGAUAGUUGCUCCUGCUGCAUGGUGGGGGUUGGAGAGUUUCGGCGGUUGGGGAUGGACUCGCGGCUUAUGAGCUUGUUGGUGGGGUAGUGGCUUACCAAGGCUUUGACGGGUAGCCGGUCUGAGAGGGUGACCGGCCACAUUGGGACUGAGAUAGGGCGCAGAAGUGUACGGUAGGGAGCAGUGGGGAAUAGUGUACUGUGGACGGGAGGCGGAUGCAGCAGCGGCGCGUGCGGGAUGACGGUCUUCGGGUGGUAAACCGCGUCCGCCUGUGACGGGGCGUGAGGGACGUUAAUGGGUUAUGAAGCACCGGCUAACUACGUG
rnacentral:rRNA from 1 species